rnacentral:rRNA from 1 species
AUUGAACGCUGGCGGCAUGCUUUACACAUGCAAGUCGAACGGUAACAGGCCGCAAGGUGCUGACGAGUGGCGGACGGGUGAGUAAUGCAUCGGAACGUGCCCAGUCGUGGGGGAUAACUGCUCGAAAGAGCAGCUAAUACCGCAUACGAUCUACGGAUGAAAGCGGGGGACCGUAAGGCCUCGCGCGAUUGGAGCGGCCGAUGUCAGAUUAGGUAGUUGGUGGGGUAAAGGCUCACCAAGCCAACGAUCUGUAGCUGGUCUGAGAGGACGACCAGCCACACGGGGACUGAGACACGGCCCAGACUCCUACGGGAGGCAGCAGUGGGGAAUUUUGGAAAAUGGGGGCAACCCUGAUUCAGCAAUGCCGCGUGCAGGAAGAAGGCCUUCGGGUUGUAAACUGCUUUUGUACGGAACGAAACGGUCUGGGUUAAUACCCUGGGCUAAUGACGGUACCGUAAGAAUAAGCACCGGCUAACUACGUGCCAGCAGCCGCCGUAAUAC